GUCGCAUUUAAAAUUUACUCUUGAGAAUUCAAAGACAAUGACUGACAUGGAAAGCAAUAACGGAGGUAUACUUGAAUGUCUCUGGAGGCCUCUAAUAAGAGUCUGGGGACUUCUGUGCUGCCAUGAGACUGGUGACUCUGAAAUAAAACCAUCAGAGGAAGAAACACAACUAAUGCCCAUCAUCAGUGAUGUUCCUAGCUCUGCCCAUCCUUGGUUUUGAAUCGAGAAGAAGAUGAUGGAGUUUCGGGAGCACCAUCUUUACACUUUCUGGAGCAGCUCUCCUGGAAAAGGCCUUCCCCAAAGAACCACCUCCGGUUCAUUUAUUCACUUGAAAUGGAAAAUUGAGUCAAGUAUGGAAUGAAGAUUUUCAAGUUCCUCUGGCUCAAUUUUUUUUAAAGAAAGAAAGAAAGUAAAAAAAGCAUGGCAUUGUUAUUCUGAUAAUACCAUAAUACUUAGCUGUAAUUUAAUCAGUAUUCAAACUUGAUGAGUAUUUUGCUUUGAUUGCCCAGAAAUUAAAGUC